AGAAGGCUUCGAGCUCCACCACUGAAGCGAAUGAACCCAUAGAGACUGUGGAGUUAGACCCUUUUUCUGAGUAUGAGAACGUCUCAGACCUGAACAUGGUCUCUGCAGAACAGACAGAAGAACCAGAGGAGCAGGAGGACCUGGUGUGAAGAUGCAUCAAACCAGAGGGAGACUCACCUGGAUGAAACAGAAAGAAGUGAAACAUUGAAGAGGAAACAUUUACCCUCAAGUUUUCAUGGUGUUAAGUAACAGUAGGUAGGAGUGAAAGCAGUCAGAAACAACAUGUAGCAGGAGAUGGAGUAACAUUUUUAUUUUAAUGUACAGUAUAUAUACACACUGUAACAGAAAUGUGCAUCAGCUUACAUUUAGCAUGCUAACUACUUAUCAUAUUUGCAGCAUUCCUUCAAUGUGUAUAUAUUUUUGUAGUGUCACGAUAAAAGCAAAAUUGGGAAAAGAGAAAGAAAGACAGU